CUCGGUACUUAUACAUCUCGUCAAUGUGUUUGUAUUGUCUUUCAUUUUUGGUGGCGUGUUUUGUAUGUGCGACUUUUUGUAUUUCUUUGUUCUUAUAACGUGACUCUGUACUUUAAAAGAUGUCAGUAUAUAUUGUUCUAUUUUAUGUCAUUAUGAUAUAUUUCUAUUAUGUAUUACAAAAUACGUUGAACCAUAAACGUCAAAAUCAUUCAAUCGCGUAGUGGAAUUAACUAUUUGUGGAUUCUUAAAUAUUCUAUAUAUAACUUUUGGGACUAUUUUCAAUCUCGGUAUAUUUCUGAAAUUUAUUCUUACAUACUUUUGAUUUUUUAACCCUAUAUGCUAACAUUGCCUAUGUAAAUUCAGGCAGCGCCUGCAAAUAAAAAAUAUAUCUCCCAGCUGAUGCGAUAUUCAUUGGCUCGUAUUCCCUACCACGAUUUCCUUGAAAGACGGUUGCCUUCACAAAAAGCUAUUAAACAAAGAAUUCCAAGUAGUGUAGUUAAUUAUAAAAUCAUCCCUUGUAAAUUUUACGGACGCCAUCACGAGUUGGUUGAUCCUUAUCGAAUAUCUGUUUCACAGAUGAUAGAAGAUAUGUUCCUACAUAUAUAAUCCCGUUCCCUUUUACUCGAAU
rnacentral:lncRNA from 1 species